rnacentral:rRNA from 1 species
CGGGAUACCCGAGGGAAACUUCGGUUAAUACGGUAUAAGACCACACUACCGCAUGGUAGAGGGGUAAAAGGGGCAACCUGGUAUGAGAUGGACUCGCGUCGCAUUAGCUAGUUGGUGAGGUAACGGCCCACCAAGGCGACGAUGCGUAGCCGACCUGAGAGGGUGAUCGGCCACAUUGGGACUGAGAUACGGCCCAGACUCCUACGGGAGGCAGCAGUGGGGAAUAUUGGGCAAUGGAGGAAACUCUGACCCAGCAAUGCCGCGUGAAUGAAGAAGGUCUUCGGAUUGUAAAGUUCUUUAGUCAGGGAAGAAGUCAAUGACGGUACCUGAAGAAUAAGCUCCGGCUAACUACGUGCCAGCAGCCGCGGUAAUACGUAGGGAGCAAGCGUUGUUCGGAAUGACUGGGCGUAAAGGGUGCGUAGGCGGUUGUACAAGUUAGAAGUGAAAUACCCAGGGCUUAACUCGGGUGCUGCUUCUAAAACUGUAUGACUUGAGUGCAGUAGAGGUUAGUGGAAUUCCUAGUGUAGCGGUGGAAUGCGUAGAUAUUAGGAGGAACACCAGAGGCGAAGGCGGCUAACUGGACUGCAACUGACGCUGAGGCACGAAAGUGUGGGGAGCAAACAGGAUUAGAUACCCUGGUAGUCCACACUGUAAACGAUGGAUACUAGAUGUAGGAGGUAUCGACUCCUUCUGCGUCGC